GAGCACGUAGGUGGGUUUGUAAGUCAGAUGUGAAAGCCUCCUGUUCAACGGGAGAAUUGCAUCUGAAACUACUGAUCUUGAGUGCAGGAGGGGAGAAUGGAACUUCUGGUGGAGCGGUGAAAUGCGUAGAUAUCAGAAGGAACGCCGGCGGCGAAAGCGAUUCUCUGGCCUAUUACUGACACUCAGUGUGCGAAAGCUAGGGGAGCAAACGGGAUUAGACACCCCGGUAGUCCUAGCCGUAAACGAUGGGCACUAAGUAGAGGGGUCUA
rnacentral:rRNA from 1 species